rnacentral:rRNA from 1 species
GACGAACGCUGGCGGCGUGCUUAACACAUGCAAGUCGAACGGAAAGGCCCUGCUUUUGUGGGGUGCUCGAGUGGCGAACGGGUGAGUAACACGUGAGUAACCUGCCCUUGACUUUGGGAUAACUUCAGGAAACUGGGGCUAAUACCGGAUAGGAGCUCCUGCUGCAUGGUGGGGGUUGGAAAGUUUCGGCGGUUGGGGAUGGACUCGCGGCUUAUCAGCUUGUUGGUGGGGUAGUGGCUUACCAAGGCUUUGACGGGUAGCCGGCCUGAGAGGGUGACCGGCCACAUUGGGACUGAGAUACGGCCCAGACUCCUACGGGAGGCAGCAGUGGGGAAGAUUGCACAAUGGGCGGAAGCCUAAUGCAGCAACGCCGCGUGCGGGAUGACGGCCUUCGGGUUGUAAACCGCUUUCGCCUGUGACGAAGCGUGAGUGACGGUAAUGGGUAAAGAAGCACCGGCUAACUACGUG